AAAUAAGAUGAAGUUUUCGGAUGGAUUCUUAUUUACCGAGUGGCGGACGGGCGAGUAACGCGUGGGUAACCUGCCUCAUACAGGGGGAUAACGGUUAGAAAUGACUGCUAAUACCGCAUAAGCGCACAGUACCGCAUGGUACGGUGUGAAAAACUCCGGUGGUAUGAGAUGGACCCGCGUCUGAUUAGCUAGUUGGUGAGGUAACGGCCCACCAAGGCAACGAUCAGUAGCCGACCUGAGAGGGUGACCGGCCACAUUGGGACUGAGACACGGCCCAGACUCCUACGGGAGGCAGCAGUGGGGGAUAUUGCACAAUGGAGGAAACUCUGAUGCAGCGACGCCGCGUGAGUGAAGAAGUAUUUCGGUAUGUAAAGCUCUAUCAGCAGGGAAGAAAAUGACGGUACCUGACUAAGAAGCCCCGGCUAACUACGUGCCAGCAGCCGCGGUAAUACGUAGGGGGCAAGCGUUAUCCGGAUUUACUGGGUGUAAAGGGAGCGUAGACGGCGACGCAAGUCUGAAGUGAAAUACCCGGG
rnacentral:rRNA from 1 species